UGCAGAAUCCCGUGAACCAUCGAGUCUUUGAACGCAAGUUGCGCCCGAAGCCAUUAGGCGGAGGGCACGUCUGCCUGGGCGUCACGC
rnacentral:rRNA from 2 species